AUGUCCAGUAGCGGCGAGUGAGCGGCAGAGCUCAGAUUUGAAAUCGUGUUUCGGCACGAGUUGUAGAGUGUAGGCGGGAGUCUCUGUGGAGCGCGGUGUCCAAGUCCCUUGGAACAGGGUGCCUGAGAGGGUGAGAGCCCCGUAGGGUGCUGCGCGAAGCUUUUGAGGCCCUGCUGACGAGUCGAGUUGUUUGGGAAUGCAGCUCCAAGCGGGUGGUAAAUUCCAUCUAAGGCUAAAUAUUGGCGAGAGACCGAUAGCGAACAAGUACUGUGAAGGAAAGAUGAAAAGCACUUUGAAAAGAGAGUGAAACAGCACGUGAAAUUGUUGAAAGGGAAGGGUAUUGGGCUCGACAUGGGGGGUGCGCACCGCUGUCUCUUGUAGGCGGCGCUCUGGGCGCCCUCUGGGCCAGCAUCGGUUCCUGCUGCGGGAGAAGGGGCUCCGGAAAGUGGCUCUUCGGAGUGUUAUAGCCGGGGCCAGAUGCCGCGUGUGGGGACCGAGGACUGCGGCUUCUGUCUCGGAUGCUGGCAUAACGGCGCAAUACCGCCCGUCUUGA
rnacentral:rRNA from 1 species